rnacentral:lncRNA from 10 species
GGCUUAACUCUUCAAGAUGUGUCUUUUUUCUGAUUGGACUAUUGUUUUUAUCUUUACUGGCUUUUAGAAGCUCUUUAUAUAAUCUGGAUAAUAAGCUUUCGUCAUCAAUAUAUGUUGCAGAUAUUUCCUCUCAGUGUGUCAUCAGAUUUUGUAUUUAUGUCUAUUUAUUAUGUCUGUGACCAUACAAAUUAUUAAAUUUCUUAUAAGGUUAGGCUAAGCUUCUUUCUUUAUGAGUUAAUGGGGGUUGUCUGUCUUAGAAAGGAUCUCUCAUUCCAAACCUUAAAACUAUUCUCCUAAUAAUUUUAGAUUUGUUCAACUGAGAGAGUGCUUAACUCAGGAGAUCAAUAAAGGUUCAUAGAGGAAGAAGUAUUUGAAAUUGUCCUGGAAGAACAAUAUUUUUCAACAGGCAGAGAUGGAGAAAGGACAAUCUACAUGAACAGAACAGCAUGAGCAAAAAGAACUGGUUAGAGACUAUCCAUAGGAUAAAUUUCUAGCAAAUUGCUGAGUCCAGGAUAUGCAUGUUUGCAAUUUUGGAAGAUCUUAAAAACUUGCCUCCUAUAGGUGUUGUACCAGUAUAUACUUCUGCCAGUAAUAGAUGGGUGGGCUGCUGAUGCCUCAAAAUGUAAGUAUUUUCAAACUUUUAAAUUUUAGCCCAUUUAACAUAAUUUAAAAAUUAUGUCUCUGUGUGAUUUUAGUUCCAUUUCCCUUAUUAUAUAUAAGACUGAACAUCUUGGCAUAUGUUUAAGGGCCAUCUGCAUUUCCUUUUCUGUGCACUGUCAGCUUAUAUGCUUUGCCCAUUUUUUCUAGUAGAUGGUUAGUGUUUUUCUUAUUGAUUUGUAUAUAUUCUGUAUUACUCCUUUAUCACAUUGCCACAAAGAAAUGCCUGAGAUGGUGUCAUUUAUAGAGAAAAGAGGUUUAAUUGGCUCACAGUUCCACAGGCUAUACAGGAAGCAUGGCUGAGGAGGCCUCAGGAAACUUAACAAUCAUGGCAGAAGGUGAAGGGGAAGCAGGCACAUCUACACAUGGCCAGAGCAGGAGGAAGAGAGAGAAGGAAGAGGUGCUACACCCUUUUAAGCAACCAGAUCUUGUGAGAUCUCACUAUCGUGAGAAUAGCAAGGAGGAAAUCUGCCCCCAUGAUUCAGUCACCUCCUGCCAGACCCCUCCUCCAACAUUAGGGAUUACAAUUCGACACGAGAUUGCCGGUGGGACACAAAUCCAAACCAUAUCAUAUUCUUUAUACAUUUGGGAAAUUAACUUUUUUCUGUAAUAUGAUUUACAAAUAUUUUUCUCAGAUUGGCAUUUGUUUUUUGACUUUUCAUAUUGUGCAUUUUGCCAUGGGAAGUUUUUUUUGUCA